rnacentral:lncRNA from 1 species
AUUUUAGGCUGUGGUUGAAAAUGUGAGCUUGCAGCUUCUUGCCCCUGCCUUUGUUUCACAAUCAUGGACCCAACUCUCUGGAACCAUGGGCCCAGAUCAACUCUGCAGCUUGCUUGUCUGUGUGCACUCUGGCUGUGCAGGUGCCCAAUCAAGCCAGAAGAAUGCACUGGACCUCCUGCAGCCGUGCACUCCGACUCUGGUGCUUAGAGCAGAGCCCAGAUCUCUGCAGGAGCGUAACUGCGGAGUCACCUCUCUAGCCCGCCCAGUACUUUCUUUUUUUCACAUUAACUUUAUUUUAUGGGACUGCGCAGGUGAUCUCAUUUAUGGGACUGCGCAGGUGAUCUCAUCAGCUCCCUGAGCGCCCACAGUCUGAGAGAAUUCCUGAUCUGCCCUGUUUGACUUUGUGGUCCAUUCGUCCGUCUUCUACCUUGCUCAGUGCCCACGUGAGGCUGAGUGGAGAAUCAAUGGCUUCCUACUUAUGGGUUUCUGAAACACUGGGAACUACUGCGUCCAUCUUCAAAGGGUUCUGAUGAUCUGACCUCCAGUCCACAAGCUUGCAUUGCACCAAGUAUGUUUCCCUGCUGGAAUGAAACUCCCAUUCUUUCCUCUGGUGAUGUGACUGCUUGCUGAC